rnacentral:rRNA from 1 species
UACAGAGGUCCCGAGCGUUGUUCGGAUUCAUUGGGCGUAAAGGGUGCGUAGGCGGCGGGGCAAGUCUGAUGUGAAAUCCCGGGGCUCAACCCCGGAACUGCAUUGGAUACUGCCUUGCUAGAGUACUGGAGAGGGAACUGGAAUUUACGGUGUAGCAGUGAAAUGCGUAGAGAUCGUAAGGAAGGCCAGUGGCGAAGGCAGAUCUCUGGGCCGUAACUGACGCUGAGGAGCGAAAGCAUGGGGAGCGAACAGG